UACGGAGGGUGCGAGCGUUGUCCGGAAUCAUUGGGCGUAAAGGGCGCGUAGGUGGCCCGGUCAGUCCGUGGUGAAAGCGCGGGGCUCAACCCCGCGUCGGCCAUGGAUACUGCUGGGCUGGAGCACUGUAGAGGCAGGCGGAAUUCCGGGUGUAGCGGUGGAAUGCGUAGAGAUCCGGAAGAACACCGGUGGCGAAGGCGGCCUGCUGGGCAGUUGCUGACACUGAGGCGCGACAGCGCGGGGAGCAAACAGG
rnacentral:rRNA from 1 species